GUCUGCAUGGUAUAGUGGUUUUAGAGUUGGACUAGAAUUCUGGGAGACCAGGGUUCAAAUCCCUGCUUAGCCA